rnacentral:lncRNA from 1 species
AUUAACAAUUUAUUACUAUAUUAUAAUUAAAUAAAUUAAACAAACUCAUAAUCCAGAUUAUCUAUAUUUCUCUCUCUUUCUCUCUAUAACCUAGCACCAUCAUCAUUAUUCAUCAUCUUCCUCAUCCAAUUUAGUGCAAAAAAUCCAGAUAAUAAAAACACUAGCAAUCAAUAACCAAUAAUGGAUGGAAUAGAAACAUGGGAUACUUUUCCUCUUUGGCACUAAUAAACAAGAUCAAAAUACAAAAAAAAUUGAAUCAAACCGUGUGCCAAAUUCAAAACUGCUACAUAAAAUAAAACAACCCAUGUGGCUUAAGUGCAUACAUGCCGAAAAAGCUAAGAUUUGAAAUCCCCACCCCAGAUUUCUGACAAAAAGGAAGUAGAAACCAAACAUUCUUCAUCUCCAUUCCCACCAAGUGGUUACCAUCACCAUCAACUACAUCCAAUAGUACAACCACUUCCCAUCUUGCCCAAUCUAAACAAAAUCCUGACUAGAGGCGAAGAACAUAGAUGACCCAUAUGAUUGAGGCUAGAGGGAGGCGGCAACCGAAGUGACCUAGAUCUACGAUUGGGGCUAGAGAGGCAGAGGACAUAGAUGACUUUGAAUCCAGAUCUACAAGUUAUUUGGGAUUUUCGGAUGAUUUUGAUUAGGAACUAAUGUGACGGUAUCGGGAUAGUGGUUCAACCAUUAAUCUAUUGUUGAUUGCUCUUCUUUUCUUCCUUUCUAUCUUCUUUUGCACUUUUUCUUCUAGUUAGGUUUAGAAAGAAGAUGAAGAUGAUGAAUGCUGUAUUCCGAGUAUUAAUUUGGGGAUUAAAUUAUAUUAACUGCACAUAUGCAUGUGAGCUUUUUUAUUGCACUUUUUCUUCUAGUUAACUGCA